UUAGCAAAUUUUAACAACAUUUUUAGUUGUUUCAACGUUCGCUUCCGAUAGAAAUGCGCUGCGCAUACGCAACGUAUGCCGCCGCAAAAUGGAUGUGAACGCAUACGCACACACACAUAAGCAUGCAAGCUGCCUCGCACACGCAUACGACUGACACACACACACAUUGCAGCAUGACAACAACCGUUGGCCGAAUUUUGCGGCUUUUGUAGCUUCUGUUUUGGAUUGGGCAACCAUCAGCCACGCCAAACACACGGCUCUGAGUUGGAGUCUCCUCUGUGUAGGAGAAUAUCCGAGCUGGAUAGGUUUAUGGAAUGAAAAGCCAAAGCAGAAGUUUUUGAACCUUAUCCGGACGGUAUAUGGAUGAGAGCAUUCGCUGGAAGACCGGCCGCGGCGGCCUACAAAUCAAAUUAUCACCAGAAACUCCACUUUUCAAUCAGUUUUCUUUCGAAAUUUCUGAUAAUAGCGAUAUUGGAAUAUGUUUUCAGGAGUCGGUGAAGUCUGAUAAGUCGGACUGCGUCCCACCUCGAAAAGCGACCGCUUUGGCAUCGUUGUGGCAUUCCUGGGCCCCGGAGUGCACACGGAGGCGCACACAAUCGUCCAGAAUGCAGCGACGACCAUUUGUAUUGUGCGAUGGGAAAACAAUGAGAGCAGCAGCCAAAAGGAAUCCAUAGCAGUCCGGGAAAGCAAAAGCAGCCAUUGUAGUGGCUCCAGUUUCCAGUUUUGGGACAGAAGCUGGAGCUGUAGUUGUGGCUGUGGCUCUGGCUAUAUAGUACUUUUAGCUGGAGUUGAUGUCGAUGUGGUGUUGGCUGCGGAUGCGGAUGUAUUUGCUGGUAUUCGGUGCUAGUGCUGUCGGGCGAAUGGAAGAUGGGGAAGGGCAGCGGCAAGAACAGAAACAGGAACAGGAGCAGGAGCAGGCGAUUGGAAGGUAUAACAAGCUGGUGUAAAAGAACAGGACGGGAAAGGAAAGGAUAGGAAAGGAGAGGACCCGACGGGGUGACCCCCGCAUAGCAGGCGAAGAUGCCGAUGCCAGUGCCAAUGACGACACAGCUGGAUAUGCAGGACAGAGAAUGGUGUUCGAGUAGUGAGGCGUACAUGCCACAUGCCUGUGCCACGUUUUCCACAUUUCUUCACUUUACCGUUAAUGGUUUUAUCUUUUGCUUACUGCCCUGCCCUAUCCAUGGUUCUCUCCCACUACCACUACCACUCCCACUCGCACUCCUAGUCUAUCCCCCUAAGAUCGAUCGAUCCGGGCCGAAGCUAUGGCUGAGACCGGGACUGAGACCGAUGCCGGAACCGAGCAAACGAAU